GAAAAAUUAAUUUUAGUUAUGGAGCUAAGGAAUUAAUGAAAAGUAAAGCAGCUAAGCAAGUGGAUUAUCUAAUAAAAUUAAGAGACUCUAAAAUUAAUCGAAGUAAUGUUCAUGUGUCUUGAUUAACGGUGAUAACCUAGCUAGACAUGUGGCUUGUCUUAUAUGCCAAAAGUCAAUGUCAAAACAAAGUCUUGAUUGUUAGUGUUUUAUGGUUUUUAAUUUUGUUUAUUUUUUUUGAACUUUCGGGUUUUAGAUUUGGGUUAAGUUUUCUGUAUAAUUUCAGGCUUUUACUUUUAGUUUUUAGGCUUCUGUUUGUUUGAAAUCUUUGUUUUGAAGUUUAUAAUUUUUUUAUUUUCUGUAUAUUUUAGGUUUUUAAAAUCUUGAAUGGUUUUAAAAAUAAUUUUUAGACUUUAGGUUUUUGAGUUUUUGGUUUCAUAUUUUUGAUAAAUGUUUUAAAUUUAUAUUAAAAAACAUGAUUGAUACUUUUGUUGAGCUUUUGGUUUUUACCUUUUAACUUUUUAUCUCUAAAUAUUAUGUUUUGAAAACAUUUUGUUCGUUUAAGUUUUAGGUUUUGAAUUAUCUAUUUAUUUAUUUUUCUUUUCUCUUAUAAGCUUUUAUAUCCAGGUAGGAAUGAAAAAAAAAUACAAUUAAAACUAAAGAAAAAAAUCUACAAACUCCGAACAAAACAGACUAAGCUAGCAGUGCCAAUAUUAAACCGUUAUAAUGGAUAUAUAAAAAAGAAAAAGAUUGACACCAAGAAACUUGCUGGAGCUGACCGCAAAGCGAUUAGGAGACCGCCGUCAAGAAUCUCCAC
rnacentral:lncRNA from 1 species